rnacentral:rRNA from 1 species
GAGUUUGAUCCUGGCUCAGAUUGAACGCUGGCGGCAUGCUUUACACAUGCAAGUCGAACGGCAGCACAAAAGAGCUUGCUCUUUGGGUGGCGAGUGGCGAACGGGUGAGUAAUACAUUGGAACGUACCGGGUAAUGGGGGAUAACCAAUCGAAAGAUUGGCUAAUACCGCAUACGCUCUGAGGAGGAAAGCGGGGGACCUUUGGGCCUCGCGUUAUUCGAGCGGCCAAUGACUGAUUAGCUAGUUGGUGGGGUAAGGGCCUACCAAGGCGACGAUCAGUAGCGGGUCUGAGAGGACGAUCCGCCACACUGGGACUGAGACACGGCCCAGACUCCUACGGGAGGCAGCAGUGGGGAAUUUUGGACAAUGGGGGCAACCCUGAUCCAGCCAUGCCGCGUGUAUGAAGAAGGCCUUCGGGUUGUAAAGUACUUUUGUUCGGGAAGAAAAGGAACCGGUUAAUACCCGGUUCUG